rnacentral:rRNA from 1 species
UACGGGGGGGGCAAGCGUUGUUCGGAAUUACUGGGCGUAAAGGGCGCGUAGGCGGACAGUUUAGUCAGAGGUGAAAGCCCAGGGCUCAACCUUGGAAUUGCCUUUGAUACUGGCUGUCUUGAGUUCGGGAGAGGUGAGUGGAAUGCCGAGUGUAGAGGUGAAAUUCGUAGAUAUUCGGCGGAACACCAGUGGCGAAGGCGACUCACUGGCCCGAUACUGACGCUGAGGCGCGAAAGCGUGGGGAGCAAACAGGG